AGAGUUUGAUCAUGGCUCAGGAUUAACGCUGGCGGUGUGCUUUAUGCAUGCAAGUCGUACGGUCUCGAUUUAUCGAGAUAGUGGCAAACGGGUGAGUAACACGUAAUUAACCUGCCCCUAAGUAGGGGAUAACUCUAAGAAAUUAGUGCUAAUACCUUAUGUGAUGGUGCUGGUAAGGCAGCACCAUUAAAGCCUUAGGGUGCUUAGGGAGGGGAUUGCGUCCGAUUAGCUAGUUGGUGGGGUAAGAGCUUACCAAGGCGAAGACGGGUAGGGGGCGUGAGAGCGCGGUCCCCCACACUGGCACUGAGAUACGGACCAGACUCCUACGGGAGGCAGC
rnacentral:rRNA from 1 species